UUUUUACUGCCACCGGGUAGGCGGUGCAUCGGCACUCGUUACACAUCGUUAGGUCUUUGAAGAUGUGUAAGGGGUGUUAUUUUUUUG
rnacentral:ncRNA from 1 species